rnacentral:rRNA from 1 species
GUGUCAGCAGCCGCGGUAAAACGUAGGACACAAGCGUUAUCCGGAGUUACUGGGCGUAAAGGGCGUUUAGGCGGGUGAUUAAGUUCGCUAUGAAAGCGCCAGGCUAAACCUGGCGAGGCUGGCGGAUACUGGUCAUCUGGAGUAAGGAAGAGGAAGGUAGAAUUCCGCGUGUAGUGGUGAAAUGCGUAGAGAUGCGGAGGAAUACCAGUGGCGAAGGCGGCCUUCUGGUCCUUAACUGACGCUGAAGCGCGAAAGCAUGGGGAGCGAACGGGAUUAGAUACCCUGGUAGUCC